rfam:Salmo salar isolate Sally breed double haploid chromosome ssa16, whole genome shotgun sequence.
UGCAUUCACAACUGUAAGACGCUCUGGAUAAGAGCGUCUGCUAAAUGACUAAAA